UACGUAGGCAGCAAGCGUUGUUCGGAGUUACUGGGCGUAAAGAGUGCGUAGGUGGUGCCCUAAGUCUGUUGUGAAAUCUCCCGGCUUAACUGGGAGGGUGCGGUGGAAACUGGGGUGCUUGAGUGUGGGAGAGGUAAGCGGAAUUCCUGGUGUAGCGGUGAAAUGCGUAGAUAUCAGGAGGAACACCGAUGGCGAAGGCAGAUCUCUGGGCCGUAACUGACGCUGAGGAGCGAAAGCAUGGGGAGCGAACAGG
rnacentral:rRNA from 1 species